UACAGAGGUCUCAAGCGUUGUUCGGAUUCAUUGGGCGUAAAGGGUGCGUAGGCGGCGCGGUAAGUCGGGUGUGAAAUCUCGGAGCUUAACUCCGAAACUGCAUUCGAUACUGCCGUGCUUGAGGACUGGAGAGGAGACUGGAAUUUUACGGUGUAGCGGUGAAAAUGCGUAGAUAUCGUAAGGAAGACCAGUGGCGAAGGCGGG
rnacentral:rRNA from 1 species